GCGUUCGGUGGGCUGGCGUCUCAUCGCUCUUUCCAUCUCUCUGUACGGUCUCCUCUACCUGUACGAGAAACUCACCUGGACCGAUGCCAGCAGAGAGCGCGUUCUGAAGCAGCAGUUUGUGGAACACGCCACCCACCGCCUGAGAGCCGUCAUCCCCGUCUGCAGCUCUGCCUGCAGCCAGCAGGUGUACAAGGAGCUGUCGUCCACAUUCAGCCGUCUGACUCAGAGAGUCGAUCUGAGUGAAGCUGAGCUGGAGGGAAACAUCCGGCAGCUGAGCUUCAGGAUCCAGAGACUGGAGAACAUCCAGAGGAGGUCCAAGGCCUUCAGGAACAGAGCCACGGAGCUGGAGACUCAGCUGGAGGCCUUUUCUGUUCAGUACCUGCAGGGAAACUGAAGUGAGCGGCACCCCUGCUGUUCAGGUCUAACGGUGUCACACAGAACUGAUGCUGCAGUGAUCAGCUGACGUGGACUGUAAUAUUUGACCUGUUUAAGACAACAAACUGUGAUCAGAGUCUUGCUGAUCUGAUCUGGGAGCUGGUGUUACCUGAACUAGCAGCUAAUCCUCACCUAACCUGUUAGC